rnacentral:rRNA from 1 species
AGAGUUUGAUCCUGGCUCAGGACGAACGCUGGCGGCGUGCUUAACACAUGCAAGUCGAACGAGGUUUAGCCGAGCUUUCGGGCAAAGCGAAGACCUAGUGGCGAACGGGUGCGUAACACGUGAGGAACCUGCCCCGGACUUGGGAAUAACAGUCGGAAACGGCUGCUAAUACCGAAUACCUUCGUAGCGUCGCAUGGCGCAUCGAAGAAAGCUUUUGCGGUCUGGGAGGGCCUCGCGGCCUAUCAGCUAGUUGGCGAGGUAACGGCUCACCAAGGCAUCGACGGGUAGCUGGUCUGAGAGGAUGAUCAGCCACACUGGGACUGAGACACGGCCCAGACUCCUACGGGAGGCAGCAGUGGGGAAUAUUGCACAAUGGGCGAAAGCCUGAUGCAGCAACGCCGCGUGCGGGAAGAAGGCCUUAGGGUUGUAAACCGCUUUCAGCAGGGAAGAAACUGACCGGUACCUGCAGAAGAAGGUGCGGCCAACUACGUGCCAGCAGCCGCGGUG